UACGUAGGGGGCAAGCGUUGUCCGGAAUCAUUGGGCGUAAAGAGCGUGUAGGCGGCUCGGUAAGUCCGCUGUAAAAGCCCAGGGCUCAACCCUGGAAAGCCGGUGGAAACUGGCGAGCUAGAGUCCGGAAGAGGCGAGUGGAAUUCCUGGUGUAGCGGUGAAAUGCGCAGAUAUCAGGAGGAACACCAGUGGCGAAGGCGGCUCACUGGCCCGGUACUGACGCUGAUGUGCGAAAGCGUGGGGAGCAAACAGG
rnacentral:rRNA from 1 species